rnacentral:siRNA from 1 species
CUAAAAUUUGUCACAAGAAGUGA